GACGAACGCUGGCGGCGUGCCUAAUACAUGCAAGUCGAACGCUUCUUUCCUCCCGAGUGCUUGCACUCAAUUGGAAAGAGGAGUGGCGGACGGGUGAGUAACACGUGGGUAACCUACCCAUCAGAGGGGGAUAACACUUGGAAACAGGUCUAAUACCGCAUAACAGUUUAUGCCGCAUGGCAUAAGAGUGAAAGGCGCUUUCGGGUGUCGCUGAUGGAUGGACCCGCGGUGCAUUAGCUAGUUGGUGAGGUAACGGCUCACCAAGGCCACGAUGCAUAGCCGACCUGAGAGGGUGAUCGGCCACACUGGGACUGAGACACGGCCCAGACUCCUACGGGAGGCAGCAGUAGGGAAUCUUCGGCAAUGGACGAAAGUCUGACCGAGCAACGCCGCGUGAGUGAAGAAGGUUUUCGGAUCGUAAAACUCUGUUGUUAGAGAAGAACAAGGACGUUAGUAACUGAACGUCCCCUGACGGUAUCUAACCAGAAAGCCACGGCUAACUACGUG
rnacentral:rRNA from 1 species